rnacentral:lncRNA from 1 species
GACCCUCUGGCAACAACUGAGCGUCAGCUAUUCCCAUUACCAAACAAAAAGCAUGCAGCUGAAAGUGAUCCUUGUGGGCUUGGCCAUCUUUGGUCUCAUUGUGGCAGAGAGCGGUGCCGUGUUGGCGAGCAGCAUCAGUGAAGCCGAGGCCAGGGCUGAUCCCGAGACUGCUGAGCGUGCCGAGCAGACCAGCGCUGAGGAAGCACGUCUCAGCGAAGCAUGCAUGGCCUCGCUGUGCGGCUAGUCACCUGAUGCAAGACAGUGAGACGUUCUAAUGAUCGUCUCUGGCAACAGUAGCAAGAAUACUUCAAAAGAAGUACCGGCACUGUCCAGCGCUCCACGCCAUGUCCCGGUGGCGAAUAUUGGGGCUUGCGGGUCGCUCUUGCUCUUGCUCUUUCAUUUAAUAAGUU